rnacentral:misc_RNA from 1 species
CCGAGUUCAUGCCCUUCGGGGUAGAUCUCCCACCCUUUGUAUACUAUACCUUUGUUGCUUUGGCGGGCCGCCUAGCUACUGGCUUCGGCUGGUAAGUGCCCGCCAGAGGACCCUAAACUCUGAAUGUUAAUGUCGUCUGAGUACUAUAUAAUAGUUA